rnacentral:rRNA from 1 species
GAUGAACGCUGGCGGCGUGCCUAAUACAUGCAAGUCGAACGAAACUUCUUUAUCACCGAGUGCUUGCACUCACCGAUAAAGAGUUGAGUGGCGAACGGGUGAGUAACACGUGGGCAACCUGCCCAAAAGAGGGGGAUAACACUUGGAAACAGGUGCUAAUACCGCAUAACCAUAGUUACCGCAUGGUAACUAUGUAAAAGGUGGCUAUACUACCGCUUUUGGAUGGGCCCGCAGCGCAUUAGCUAGUUGGUAGGGUAAAGGCUUACCAAGGCAAUGAUGCGUAGCCGAAUUGAGAGGUUGAUCGGCCACAUUGGGACUGAGACACGGCCCAAACUCCUACGGGAGGCAGCAGUAGGGAAUCUUCCACAAUGGGCGAAAGCCUGAUGGAGCAACGCCGCGUGGGUGAAGAAGGUCUUCGGAUCGUAAAACCCUGUUGUUAGAGAAGAAAGUGCGUGAGAGUAACUGUUCACGUUUCGACGGUAUCUAACCAGAAAGCCACGGCUAACUACGUG